rnacentral:rRNA from 1 species
AUUGAACGCUGGCGGCAGGCCUAACACAUGCAAGUCGAGCGGAUGAAGGGAGCUUGCUCCUGGAUUCAGCGGCGGACGGGUGAGUAAUGCCUAUGAAUCUGCCUGGUAGUGGGGGAUAACGUCCGGAAACGGGCGCUAAUACCGCAUACGUCCUGAGGGAGAAAGUGGGGGAUCUUCGGACCUCACGCUAUCAGAUGAGCCUAGGUCGGAUUAGCUAGUUGGUGGGGUAAAGGCCUACCAAGGCGACGAUCCGUAACUGGUCUGAGAGGAUGAUCAGUCACACUGGAACUGAGACACGGUCCAGACUCCUACGGGAGGCAGCAGUGGGGAAUAUUGGACAAUGGGCGAAAGCCUGAUCCAGCCAUGCCGCGUGUGUGAAGAAGGUCUUCGGAUUGUAAAGCACUUUAAGUUGGGAGGAAGGGCAGUAAGUUAAUACCUUGCUGUUUUGACGUUACCAACAGAAUAAGCACCGGCUAACUUCGUG